UUUCAUUGGUUCUGCUACCCGGGCCCCGACUGCCGGCUCCAGAUUGGUCGGCUCUGCUGCCGCUCGGCCUUCUUCCGGGGGCGCGCGGCGAGCGUGACCACGCCUCUGACGUCCGGACGCUCGGUGGCCUCGGGAGGCGCCGUAGUCGCCGCGGAGAAGGAAGGAGGGCGGCUGUUGAAGAGCUGCUAUGGUGCUGAGUCUCCGGGCAGAGCCGACCGAGUGGAGGCGGUCGCGGCCAUGAAGGCGGGCGCCACGUCCAUGUGGGCUUCGUGCUGCGGGCUGCUGAAUGAAGUCAUGGGCACCGGAGCCGUCAGGGGCCAGCAGGCAGGGUUCCCGGGAGGCGCCGGGCCGUUCUCGUUCACAGCAAGCUCAGACUUUUCUGCGUACCCACCAGCACCCACAGAAGGGCCUAAUAUAGUCUGCAAAGCCUGUGGCCUCUCAUUUUCAGUCUUUAGAAAGAAGCAUGUGUGCUGUGACUGCAAGAAGGAUUUCUGCUCCGUGUGCUCGGUCUUCCAAGAAAACCUCCGCCGCUGCUCCACCUGCCACCUGCUCCAGGAGACGGCCUUUCAGCGGCCGCAGCUGAUGCGCCUGAAGGUGAAGGACCUGCGGCAGUACCUCACGCUGCGGAACAUCCCCACCGACACCUGCCGCGAGAAGGCGGACCUGGUGGACCUGGUGCUGUGCCAUCACGGACUGGGCUCUGAGGACGACCUGGACACCAGCAGCCUGCACUCUUCCCGCUCCCGGGCAUCCAGCUUUUUUACAGAGUCCCUGUUUGCCCGCUACACAGCCUCCUCAGCCGCCGAGGCCUCCUUCCCGGGGGAGCUCGCAGGCCGGGGCUGCGCCUCCGGGCCCGGAACCCUGGCGCAGGCACACAGUGAAGCGGCUUCCGCAGACAUGGAGGAUGACGAGGAGGAGGAGGAGGAGGAUGAGGAGGAGGAGGAUGAGGAUGAUGAUGAAGAGAACUUGGAGGAGGAGACCCUUGGGCUCUCCAGGAAGCGGGGCAGAGCCUCCCUGUCCGACCUGUCCAGCCUGGAGGAGGUGGAGGGCAUGAGCGUGCGCCAGCUCAAGGAGGUCCUGGCACGGAACUUCGUCAGCUACUCAGGCUGCUGCGAGAAGUGGGAGCUGGUGGAGAAGGUCAGCCGGCUGUACAAGGAGAACGAGGAGAACCAGAAGUCAUACGGCGAGCGGCUGCAGCUGCAGGACGAGGAGGACGACAGCCUGUGCCGCAUCUGCAUGGAUGCCGUCAUCGACUGUGUCCUGCUCGAGUGUGGACACAUGGUCACCUGCACCAAGUGCGGCAAGCGCAUGAGCGAGUGUCCCAUCUGCCGGCAGUACGUGGUGCGAGCCGUGCACGUGUUCAAGUCCUGAGGCCGCGCUGCCCAGCUGGAUCCCAGACAUUUCGAUGCACAGAGCGACUGGAAACUUACUGUUGAAAGGCAGAAGCUAUUUUUUAAAAUUAUUUUCACUACUAAUGGGGACGGACAGGUUCAUCUAAGUUGAAGACACGCUGGUCCAUGCCAUCAACCUGUAGCCCGAAUUCUACGGGGCUUGUCACUUGUUCCCGGGAGCAGUGACUGCCGAAGUCGGACUGGCGACAGCGUGGGGCGUCCUGGCAUCUGACCCUUCUGCGUGGACACGUCUGUUGACACCGGGUGGGGCGAGCUCACUGUCACAGCAGCCGAUGGGGCACGCAGCACACGGUGGACCUCUGACAUUCCCUUUGUCAGUUACGUGUAUUUUAAAUGCGAACACCUGAUGAAUGUAAUCAAGUUUCCACAUCGUUGCUGUUUCUGCAUUUCAGCCUAAUCAGGAACGGACGUUCUGUAGUCAACUGCCAGGGCCUUAGACUAACAUGUCCAUUUCUGUUCAGAAACACGUACUCUACCAUAAACGGAAGGUGGGCGCGACUCCGCAGCUGAGCCUUGGGAAAGCCAAAACCCAUCUGUGCAUUCACCCACUUGGCGGGCGAACAGCAAGGUAUGUCAGGAGAGCCAAAGCAGCAGUAGGUGAGUUUUACCCAUGAAAUGCACACUGCUAAAUUUCUGGGCAUUUAUGAUGUGUUUAAAAAAGUUUUCUUUUGAUUUUUUUUGGUAGAAGUAGCCCAUUUCAGUACAAUGGUACACAGAUUUGCAAAUUUUGGAGGUCCAAAGCGAAGCCUCAGAUCAUUCACACGUGAAUGAUGAACAUAGUCACUUUCACCAGGCAAGCCACAGUUCCUCUGACAGUGCAAUGGAGCAAGAAGCAAGUGAUGCAGACACGGGAUGGAGGUCUCCUCGAUUCACAUGACGAAACAGCAAUGUGAUGCCGACUCUCUGGCUUCCGCCUUGGACCCUUCAGCCUUCUGUCACAGACCCAUCAUCAGCGUCCUGAUACAGACUUGCAAGGGGCACUGAAGUGAACUCCAGACCUCGGACUGAAUCCUUUGGCCUCCGGUGUGCAGACACCCUCUGCACGCUUCCUGAUCCAACUCUAUGGCUGAUCAUUGUAAGCCAACCUUGUAAUUUCUUAUACAUUUAUAUGUCUUGUAUCUGUUUCUCUAGUAAAACCCUGAGUGAUACAACCACAUUUGAGAUUUAGUUCCUUCAAAACUGACUGAGGUAGCCAGCGUGGUGGUACAUGCCUGUAAUCCCAGCACUGGGGAGGCUGAGACAGGAUGAUCACUGCAAGACCAGCCCAAACUGCACAGCAAGUUACUGUCUCAACAACAACAAAAAACCUGAGGUUUGAUGAUUAAAAACGUCUGCCAAGAAAGAAAAAGUUGAUGAUCUGGUUGCUAUUUGCUUAUGAUUUGAGAGAUCUGUGGGUAAUUAUGAAGCAAUUUACAUCUCAGUACAUGACUAUUGAACAUCUUGCGGCAUUGCAUGGUUGCUGUAGCUUUAGGCAGUAUAUUCCCCCACACUUUCAAAAUAGAGCGUAAAAAUGUAUGCCCUUGUAGAUGAGAAGACUUUUUUUUUUUA